rnacentral:rRNA from 1 species
UACGUAGGGUGCGAGCGUUGUCCGGAAUUAUUGGGCGUAAAGAGCUCGUAGGCGGUGUGUCACGUCGGCCGUGAAAACCUGGGGCUUAACUCUGGGCGUGCGGUCGAUACGGGCAUCACUAGAGUUCGGCAGGGGAGACUGGAAUUCCUGGUGUAGCGGUGAAAUGCGCAGAUAUCAGGAGGAACACCGGUGGCGAAGGCGGUUCUCUGGGCAUGUCCUGACGCUGAGGAGCGAAAGUGUGGGGAGCGAACAGG